GGUCGGGUGGUGUAGUUGGUUAUCACAUCUCGUUAACAGUAUUACUGUGACAUAAAACCGAGAAGGUCCUGGGAUCGAACCCCAGCUUGAUCA
rnacentral:tRNA from 1 species